GAUGAACGCUGGCGGCGUGCCUAAUACAUGCAAGUCGAGCGAACAGACGAGGAGCUUGCUCCUCUGACGUUAGCGGCGGACGGGUGAGUAACACGUGGAUAACCUACCUAUAAGACUGGGAUAACUUCGGGAAACCGGAGCUAAUACCGGAUAAUAUAUUGAACCGCAUGGUUCAAUAGUGAAAGACGGUUUUGCUGUCACUUAUAGAUGGAUCCGCGCCGCAUUAGUUAGUUGGUAAGGUAACGGCUUACCAAGGCAACGAUGCGUAACCGACCUGAGAGGGUGAUCGGCCCCACUGGAACUGAGACACGGUCCAGACUCCUACGGGAGGCAGCAGUAGGGAAUCUUCCGCAAUGGGCGAAAGCUUGACGGAGCAACGCCGCGUGAGUGAUGAAGGUCUUCGGAUCGUAAAACUCUGUUAUUAGGGAAGAACAAAUGUGUAAGUAACUAUGCACGUCUUGACGGUACCUAAUCAGAAAGCCACGGCUAACUACGUG
rnacentral:rRNA from 1 species